rnacentral:rRNA from 1 species
AAGACCUUGCGCUUUUGGAGCGGCCGAUGUCUGAUUAGCUAGUUGGUAGGGUAAUGGCCUACCAAAGCUUCGAUCAGUAGCUGGUCUGAGAGGACGACCAGCCACACUGGGACUGAGACACGGCCCAGACUCCUACGGGAGGCAGCAGUGGGGAAUUUUGGACAAUGGGCGCAAGCCUGAUCCAGCCAUGCCGCGUGAGUGAAGAAGGCCUUCGGGUUGUAAAGCUCUUUCAGCCGGGAAGAAAAGGCUACGACGAAUAAUCGUGGCUCAUGACGGUACCGGAAGAAGAAGCACCGGCUAACUACGUGCCAGCAGCCGCGGUAAUACGUAGGGUGCGAGCGUUAAUCGGAAUUACUGGGCCUAAAGGGUGCGCAGGCGGUUUUGUAAGUCAGAUGUGAAAUCCCCGGGCUUAACCUGGGAACU